UGUGUGUGUGUGUCUCUGUGUGUGUGUCUGUGUGUGUGUGAGUGCCUGUGUGUGUGUGUGUGUCUCUGUGUGAGUGCCUCUGUGUGUGUGUGUCUGUGUGUCUGUGUGUGUGUGUGUCUGUGUGUGUGUGUGUCUGUGUGUGAGUGCCUGUGUGUGUGUGUGCCUCUGUGUGUGUGUGUGUCUGUGUGUGUGUGAGUGCCUGUGUGUGUGUGUUUGUGUGUGUGUCUGUGUGUGUGUGUGUGUGUGUGUGUGUGUGUGUGUCUCUGUGUGUGUGUGAGUGCCUGUGUGUGUGUGUGUCUGUGCACUGGUGCUCUCGUGGCUCCUGCCUAUUGGUGCAAGAUGCUCUCAGGGAAGGUGGCAUCCACCACCCCUGGAGACCACAACAAGUAGUGCCUGAACAGGGACCUUUGUCUGGCACCCCUGAGGAAUGUCUCCAGCAUGGCUGGAAUCCAAGUCACCUUCGGGUCAGGCACUACCCUAAGGCAACCUCUGAGUUUUAUCAGGGCACGCUGAGGGGAGAGACCUGCAACCCUCCCAGAGUCACAGACUGGAGGAUUGCUUUCCUUGACAGACCCCCACAAGAUCCUUUGUUGGCCCACCAUUGGAUCCCUGGAGCCUUAGACCUUAAUAAACCCUUGUUAGAACUCUG